rfam:Denitrovibrio acetiphilus DSM 12809, complete genome.
GGGGAGAUACCCAAGUGGCCAAAGGGGGCAGGCUGUAAACCUGUUGUCGUAUGACUUCGAAGGUUCGAAUCCUUCUCUCCCCA